ACUGGUUGAUCCUGCCAGUAGUCAUAUGCUUGUCUUAAAGAUUAAGCCAUGCAGGUGUAAGAUCAUAUCUAUGAAUGGUGAAUCCGCGAAUGGCUCAUUAAAUCAGUUAUAAUUUAAUAGGAUGUGAUUCGUUAAUUGGAUAACUGUGGUAAUUCUAGAGCUAAUACAUGCAUAUACGGCUGAACUUUGUUUGGCUGUGCUUUUAUUAGUGCAAACCAGGCCUUCGGGCUGCAAAAUGGUGACUCUGAAUAACUUUGCUGAGCAUUUGGACCUUGUGUCAGUGCUAUUCCUUUAAAGUAUCUGCUCUAUCAACUGUCGAUGGUAUAUUAUAUGUUUACCAUGGUUGUAACGGGUAACGGGGAAUUAGGGUUCGAUUCCGGAGAGGGAGCCUGAGAAACGGCUACCACAUCUAAGGAAGGCAGCAGGCGCGCAAAUUACCCAAUCCCGGCUCGGGGAGGUAGUGACAAAAAAUAACAAUGCGGGACUCUUAUGAGGCUUCGUAAUUGGAAUGAGUACAUUCUAAAUCCUUUAACGAGGAACUAUUGGAGGGCAAGUCUGGUGCCAGCAGCCGCGGUAAUUCCAGCUCCAAUAGCGUAUAUUAAAGUUGUUGCGUCUAAAAAGCUCGUAGUUUGAAAACUUGCCUUGGCUUACAACAGACGUCUAAGGGCGUCACCGUUUGUCGAGAGCAAAUAUGGGUGACUGUUCUUGCCUUCUUCACUGAUUGGCUCGUAAAAGUCAUCGAAGAUCACUUUGAUUAAAUUAGGGUGCUCAAAGCAAGUGUGCUACUUGAAUAUGAAUGCAUGGAAUGAUGGAAUAUGUUGUUGUUCUAUUUGUUGGUUUUUUGAAUGACGAAAUGAUUGAAAGGAACUGUUGGGGGCAUUCGUAUUGUUGUGAGAGAGGUGAAAUUCUUAGACCAUAGCAAGACGAACUACUGCGAAAGCAUUUGCCAAGAAUGUUUUCAUUGAUCAAGAACGAAAGUUAGAGGUUCGAAGGCGAUCAGAUACCGCCCUAGUUCUAACCAUAAACUAUGCCGACUAGCAAUUUGCUUUGUAUUUUUAUGACUAAGUGAGAGGCCACGGGAAACCAAAGUAGGGUUAUGGGGGAAGUAUGGUUGCAAAGCUGAAACUUAAAGGAAUUGACGGAAGGGCACCACCAGGAGUGGAGCCUGCGGCUUAAUUUGACCCAACACGGGAAAACCUACCUUGUCCUGACACUAGAAGGAUUGACAGAUUGAUAGCUCUUUCUUGAUUUGGUGGAUGGUGGUGCAUGGCCGUUCUUAGUUGGUGGAGUGAUUUGUCUGGUUAAUUCCGAUAACGAACGAGACUCUAGCCUAUUAAAUAGUAUGC
rnacentral:rRNA from 1 species